rnacentral:rRNA from 1 species
ACUUAAAUUGAAGAGUUUGAUCAUGGCUCAGAUUGAACGCUGGCGGCAGGCCUAACACAUGCAAGUCGAGCGGUAGCACAGAGAGCUUGCUCUCGGGUGACGAGCGGCGGACGGGUGAGUAAUGUCUGGGAAACUGCCUGAUGGAGGGGAUAACUACUGGAAACGGUAGCUAAUACCGCAUAACGUCGCAAGAC